GCAGAUUCUACAAAUUGCAGGAGUUUAAUUGGAAGUUUAUUGUAUUUAACCAUAACCAGGCCUGAUUUGAUGUAUACAACAAGUUUGUUGUCAAGAUUCAUGCAAGAAUCUAGUGAAAAGCAUAUGGUAGCUGCUAAAAGGUUCCUUAGAUAUGUGAAGGGUACUCUGGACGAUGGUAUUUGGUUCAAAUCAGAAAGAUCAGUUAUCUUGCAAUGCUUUUCAGGGAGUGAUUGGGCUGGGAGUUUGGAUGAUUCCAAAAGCACAUCAGGAUAUGCUUUCUCCCUAGGGUCUGGUGUGUUCUUAUGGAGUUCAAGGAAGCAGGAAGUUGUUGCUCUAUCCUCUGCAAAAGCAGAGUACGCGGCAGCUACUGGUGCCACAAAUCAAGCUACCUGGUUAAGAAAAGUGAUGGAAGAUUUGAAUUUGAGUCAAAAUAGUGCUACCGUGAUUUGGGUGGAUAACAAAUCUGCAAUCUCCGUGGCAAAGAAUUCUGUUUUACAUGGCAGGUCAAAGCACAUAAAAGUGAAGUUUCAUGCUUUAAGGCAAGCUGAAGCAAGUCAAGAAAUUAAGCUGGAACAUUGCAAGUCAGAGGAACAGAUUGCUGACAUUAUGACCAAGAGUAUACGGAAGGCUAAAUUUGAGAUGCAAAGGAGGCAGCUUGGAGUAUUGAAGAAAAAUCUUAAGGAGGAGUGUUAAAAUGUUAAGAUUUUUCUGUUAUAUUCUUAGUAAAUGUUAAUCUGUUGUACUGCUAACUAAAGCAAGUUAUGUUAGGUUAUUUUGUAUGGUCAUCCUUACUUCAAGGCUUUUUGAAUGUAAAAAAUCUCAUAUUAGGUAAAGUAGGUUUGACUUGCUUGUUUUGUA
rnacentral:misc_RNA from 1 species